rnacentral:rRNA from 1 species
GAGUUUGAUCCUGGCUCAGGAUGAACGCUAGCGGCAGGCUUAACACAUGCAAGUCGAGGGGUAUAGUAGCAAUACUAGAGACCGGCGCACGGGUGCGUAACGCGUAUGCAAUCUACCUUUUACAGAGGGAUAGCCCAGAGAAAUUUGGAUUAAUACCUCAUAGUAUAACAUGACCGCAUGGUCGAGUUAUUAAAGUCACAACGGUAAAAGAUGAGCAUGCGUCCCAUUAGCUAGUUGGUAAGGUAACGGCUUACCAAGGCUACGAUGGGUAGGGGUCCUGAGAGGGAGAUCCCCCACACUGGUACUGAGACAC